UCAAUUCAAUCGUUUUCAGUUUUUAUGUUUUAACAUGUCUACUGCCUUUAUUAAAUUUGUUUUUAAGCAUAUUUGUUUUUAUUUUUUAUAUCGAAUUAAUAGAAUGAAUCAGAUUGAAGAUGAAGGUUUGUAUUUAUUUAGAUGUGUAUUAUGUUACAGAUGUAUAAUGUUAUGUUGUUAGUUCUUAAAUAUAUGUUUAUUUUUAGUUGCUGAAUUACUAAGAAAUGAUGACAAUAUUGAAGCAAACGUUGGUGAUAAUAUUGGAACAAGUAAGU